AUUCCCCGCUUCUCCUUCCUUCCUUCCUCCUCCGCGCUCAUCGUAGAUUGCUGAAGUGGGAGCCGAAGAGUGAGUGGUGCUAGUUUUACAUUCGGUUUUCUGUCCGGAGUUUCUUGAGUCGGUCCAUGACUUCUUACCUACACCAACAACGCUUAACGUUAGUCUUUCUUUCUCAUCUUCACAUAGGGAGUAAACAUGUGUUAGAACGUUGUUAGAAGAGAAGGUCAGUUUUUGUAAUUUGAGGAAUCGUCGUCUCUGGUGGCCAGCCGUCUACGGGAAACAACUGAAGGAAACUAAGAAACUGUUUAGUCUACAUGUGUUUCCUUUUUUUCUUCAAUUCCUAUUUUGCCGCCACACUGCAGUGUCACCAAACACAACCCUGGAGAUUUCUCACAGUGACCCCACAAAGACAUAACAAUGGUGACCUUUUACGAAGUGUGUAUCUGUUGCUCUGCGGUUUGGCUUUUCUUUAAUCAUGGUAAACAUUUUAUCAAAAGCUAUCAGCUCUCCUGCAAGCGAAACAUGCCAUCUGGCUAAGCAGAAAACGAAAUUUUGAAAAGAUACGAAUAUAUUAUACAAACAAUCUUAAAGAGAAAAUUACUCAGAGCAAUAACUCAAUCAAAUUUGAAACGAAAGGAAAGUGAAAAAGAAACAAUCUUCUGGUGGAGAAUUUGAAAGAAACGAGACGCAAAAAUUCGAGUCUGCUUGCUUGCCUCUUCUUUGGCACUGAGAUCUGAACGCAACACGGCGAGAGAUCUGCGCCAAGACAUUUUUUAACGGUCUCCGCUCAGGCACGAGCGAACGUUACCUCUGAUUCACGACUGCCAAGGUUAGAGCUGAUGUCAUUCGCGCACAUUUGUGACACUCGUUGACUCAAACUGGUGUCAGCCCUUCACCUUACCUGAACUGAUUCCAGAUUAUAACUUGAUAGUUACUAAAACUCCCAUUCGCCGAUUCAAGGAACGUAUUUAUUGUGCCGCAUUGCUUGUGAGUAUUUCGCUCUUUUGAAAUGUGAACCAGAGACUUUCAGAACAGCGCAGAGAUUAAUUAAGCAAAUCAAAAAGCGCUCUUGUUUAGAAUUUUGCUCUGAAGGAGAAAUAAAAAUGAUUUCUUUGGAACAAAAGUGGAUGAAAUCAGUUAACCGCAAAUAUUAUGAGAGCGACCGCUUGAAGUGUUGGAGCGUGUGUUAAUUAACUUGAUAUCAGUUUCUGCGCUACGUCUGUAAGAGUAAUACUUGGAUUAAGAUUAAUGAUUCAAGGAUUUACAUUGGCCAUUACUAGCGCGUGUAUUCACCGCAAAUGAGCGAAUGAGAGGUGUGUAUACGCCAUGCCAUUCACCUUCUUUUGGCGACCUCUGAGUCUGAUGUACGUCACAAUUAUAUAAAAUCUAUUAUUAAAACGACGUUCUCUCGUCUACGUUGUCGGGAAUUUCUGAACUUUACCAAAAAGAAAAUAAAACGUUUUGAGAAUUCAUAUUUUGUGAAAUGCAGAUUCAAUACAGGAACACCCAACCAGCACCGUUGGCGUGUUAUCAUAGAGUCAUUUGUAUUCACAAAAUAAUAGAUGUUGCAGUAGUCAUUUUUAAAUGUUUUACAUCGCUUGUGUGAGAGUGAGGGGUAAAGAAUUCGUCCACGCGGAUUUUUAAGUGAGUGGCAUUAAUUGAUUGUUCUGGGGAUUUGUUAUUGG
rnacentral:lncRNA from 1 species